GAUGAAGAACGCAGCGAAAUGCGAUACUUGGAGUGAAUUGCAGAAUCCCGUGAACCAUCGAGUCUUUGAACGCAAGUUGCGCCUCAAGCCAUUAGGUUGAGGGCACGUCUGCCUGGGCGUCACAUAUCGUUGCCUGAUGCCAGUUUCCUCGUGAUGGGUGACUGUGCAGGGCGAAUGAUGGCUUCCCGUGAGCAUUGUUGCCUCAUGGUUGGUUGAAAAUUGAGUCCUUGGUAGGGAGCGCCGUGAUAGAUGGUGGUUGAGUGACGAACGAGACCCAAUCAUGUGAGACCCCUACCGAAUUUGGCCUUCAUGACCCACAUGCGUCUUUGGAACGCUCAUGACGAGACCUCAGGUCAGGCGGGGCUACCCGCUGAGUUCAAGCAUAUCAAUAAGCGGAGGA
rnacentral:misc_RNA from 1 species